AUGACGGAGACACGGGACAGCAGUAAUGGCACCUGUAUCCAUCUGCUCUGCUCUAUGGAGGGUCCGACGACUGAGUUGGUGAACUUCACCUGGAGCCAAGAGGGUCAUGGGUCACUUCAUCCAUUCACAUCUAAUGCCAUGAAGAGCGAGCUGCAUCUGUGUAAACCUGACUGGAAUGACGGAGACACAAUCACCUGUUACGCCAAUUACUCAAGAACACAAACCCAAAGAAGUAUACAACUCACUUCACAGAAAGAAUCUGUCAACGAUGUCCUGCUGCUGAUCAUCUCAGUCAGUUCUGCUGCAGGCCUCAUCCUGUGCAUCAUCCUUACCGUUGUUAUUUGCAAAUGCAGAAAGCGAGACGAAAGUGGAUCUAUAGUGUUCAGCAAUAAAGUCUAUGAGAACUUCAGUUUCGCCAUGGCCCGUCAGAACACACAGUCCAAUGAUAAACCACAGACAGAAGAGUGUAUUUAUGAGAACUAA
ensembl:lncRNA